GAUGAACGCUGGCGGCGUGCUUAACACAUGCAAGUCGAACGAAGAUGCCGGAGUGCUUGCACUUUGGCAGACUGAGUGGCGGACGGGUGAGUAACGCGUGGGUAACCUGCCUUAUACAGGGGGAUAACAGUUGGAAACGACUGCUAAUACCGCAUAAGCGCACGGUAUCGCAUGAUACAGUGUGAAAAACUCCGGUGGUAUAAGAUGGACCCGCGUCUGAUUAGCUAGUUGGUGAGGUAACGGGCCCACCAAGGCGACGAUCGGUAGCCGGACUGAGAGGUUGAACGGCCACAUUGGGACUGAGACACGGCCCAGACUCCUACGGGAGGCAGCAGUGGGGAAUAUUGCACAAUGGGGGAAACCCUGAUGCAGCGACGCCGCGUGGAGGAAGAAGGUCUUCGGAUUGUAAACUCCUGUUGUUGGGGAAGAUAAUGACGGUACCCAACAAGGAAGUGACGGCUAACUACGUG
rnacentral:rRNA from 1 species